rnacentral:piRNA from 1 species
UGGAAUAAGCAGCCAGUGACCAACCAGA